rnacentral:rRNA from 1 species
GACGAACGCUGGCGGCGUGCUUAACACAUGCAAGUCGAACGGAAAGGCCCUGCUUAUGUGGGGUGCUCGAGUGGCGAGCGGGUGAGUAACACGUGAGUAACCUGCCCUUGACUUUGGGAUAACUUCAGGAAACUGGGGCUAAUACCGGAUAGGAGCUCCUGCUGCAUGGUGGGGGUUGGAAAGUUUCGGCGGUUGGGGAUGGACUCGCGGCUUAUCAGCUUGUUGGUGGGGUAGUGGCUUACCAAGGCUUUGACGGGUAGCCGGCCUGAGAGGGUGACCGGCCACAUUCGGACGGAGAUACGGACCAGACUCCUACGGGAGGCAGCAGUGGGGAGUAUUGCACAAUGGGCGGAAGCCUGAUGCAGCAACGCAGCGUGCGGGAUGACGGCCUUCGGGUUGUAUACCGCUUUCGCCUGUGACGAAGCGUGAGUGACGGUAAUGGGUAAAGAAGCACCGGCUAACUACGUG